GACUUAGCAUAGCCUUACAUGAAGCUCGACCUGAGUCAACUGUACCAAAGUUUGGCAACUACAAGAUUGGGCUUCUUCCCAACUGUCCAACCAUGACACCAGGGUCAAAUGAUUGUGGUUUUUUUGUUGCAAACUUCCUCCGCUACUACGAUUUUGAUGAUGGUGACUUAUCAGAAUUUUAUACUCCGGAUGAACCAUUGGACCAACGUGCCUUUGUUCUGCAUUACCUUACGUUUCAUCGCAACAACAUGGUUGCCCCCCUUCCUGCAGAACUGCUGCCUUUCAAGUAUUCUCCAAGGAGGCGCCGCUGUUUGAAAGCCAAGACUUAGAUAGAAUACCUGAUCAUGAUUCCCUGUGGGAUGAACAAAACUGUUUAUGUUACUUGUUAAGUCACUUAUGUCAGGCCUCUCA